GCAGUGGAAGUGCUGGUUCAAUACGCAGAAUGGGUGGUUUUAAAGAAAACAUGGACAUGUUGACAUAUGACAUACAUGCAUUGUCUCUCACUUGUGUACAAGGAAAUCAUUUCUUUGCCUCACAUAGCAGACUACUGUAUAUGGGCUGGGUUAAAAUGUGAUUUAACUUUGAAAGAAUAAGGUAAAAAUGCAAAAAAAGACAGUCUCUUGGCUUUUCAAGGUCGCUAUUAUUUUAUUUGUCAUCCAAGUAACAGCAACAGCAGCUGGUCUCUCAAAUGAAUCAUCUGACUAUUCCUGCCAAAUAGUCUUCACUAAAUCAACAGGCUCUUUAAGCGAUGACCAAAUUCCGUUUGAUACAUGGACAGUCUCAAAUGAUGCAAAGACUUCCACAUUUACAACACCUGUCACACCAAAGGCAACGUUAACAAUCAAGUCAAGUGAUGUCCCCACUGCCUCAAUUACAUCAAUGUUCACUUCAAGUGAUGUCAUAAUUCUCGCUACAACAUCAACAGUAAUAUCGAAUGAAGUCAUAACGCCCUCAGCACUCCAUAUUGUCCCUUCAACCGAUGCCAGUACUCUCUCAAAUACAUUGACCUCUCUCAAAUACAUUGAUGCCUCAACUACCAGUCAGAGCUCAAUGGGAGACAUCGUUUCUGCAUCAGCCCUCACAACAUCAACAGCUACUUCAACUGAUGCUCCCUCAAUUACCAUUGUUUUAAAUAAUGCCAAUACUCCUCAUAGUACACUCACAGUCCCUUCAAGUGAUGUCAACAAUCCCUCAACUACAUCAACAGCCACUUCAAACGAUGCCUUAAUGUCUUCUAUUUUUUCUACAGUCACUUUAAGUGAUUCUACUACUUUAUCUACUUCAAUGACAGGCUCUAUAAGUGACGUUCCAGCAAACACUUCAGUGAAAAACACUAUUGUCAGAUGUGUAUCAGGUGCUGUUGUAAAUGCCAUUAGGCUGGAAAAUGUUACUAGUCAGGUUAUCACUGCAAGUUGGAUGGGCAUCAACCUGAAUCAAGAAAUUCAGUACACAGUGAAGUUGGUGUCUUAUUCAUCCUCAAUCCAGAACGAGACCUCAGUCACCAAAGCUGUUUUCUUAGACCUUACUCCAGCAACCAUGUACACUCUCACUAUUGAGUACUUAUCCUGUGGCGUCAAGAAAAACAUUUCAAUAGACGUAGUCACAACUGGAAAAGUCUAUGAUUGUUCCACUCGAAUUCCAGGCGGAGAGUUUUUGUCUGAUUAUUUAAAUCAAUCCAGCAGCCUUUAUAAAGACUUUGUGACCAACUUCACCAUGCAGGUUGUAAAUAAUCUCCCAGAACAGUACCAAGACCUUAUCAAGACUCAACAAAUGAUGGUGGUUGUGAGAGCUGUUCGCAAUGGAAGUCUGAUUGUUGACUUUGAUCUAUUCGUUGCUUCGGUGGUCAACUUAUCAACCUCUGCCGUGCAGAUCAGUGUCAUCAAUGCCUUAAACAGAUCUGCACUCGGAGUAGAUCACAAUAGCACCUUUGUUAAAGAUGCAGAUCUUUGUCAAAGAGGAAAUUACGCAUGCUCACAAAAUGCCAGUUGUGUCACAGAGGGACCUUCAUAUUCAUGUAACUGUCAGGCGGGAUUCUAUGACAUAAACCCAGUGGUGCCUGGUACUGACUGCAUGAGCAUAUCAGUGGAUGCCACCACUACUGCAACAGCAUCAACAGUCUCGCCAAGUGAUGCCACCACUGCCUCAAUUACAUCAACAGUCUCUCCAAGUGAUGCCACCACUGACUCAACUCCAUCAACAGUCUCUCCAAGUGAUGCCACCACUGCCUCAACUACAUCAACAGUCUCGCCAAGUGAUGCCACUACUGCCUUAACUACAUCAACAGUCUCUCCAAGUGAUGCCACCACUGACUCAACUACAUCAACAGUCUUUCCAGGUGAUGCCAACACUGACUCAACUACAUCAGCCGACUCUUCAAGAGAUGCCUCCACUGCUAUAACUACAUCAACAGUCUCUCCUAAUUAUGCCACCAGUGCCUCAAAUGCAUCAAAAGUCUCUCCAAAUGAUACCACCGCUGACUCAGCUACAUUAACAGUCUUUCCAAGUGAUGCCACCACUGCCUCAACUUCAUCAAAGGUCUCUCCAAGUGAUGCCACCACUUACUCAAUUACAUCAACAGUCUCUCCAAGUGAAGCCACAACCUACUCAACUACAUCAACAGUCUCUCCAAGUGAGGCUAUCACUGACUCAACUACACCAACAGUCUCUCCAAGUGAUGCCACAACUUACUCAACUACAUCAACAGUCUCUCCAAGUGAAGUCAUUAGUCCCUUUACCUCGUUGACGUUCACGUCAAGUGAUAACUCCACUACCCGUCAGAGCUCAAUGGGAGACAUUGUUUCUGCAUCAGCCCCCACAGCAUCAACAGCUACUUCGAGUGUUGCCAUCUCUUCCUUAACUCUUUCCACAGUCUCCUCAAGUGAUGUAACCCCUCCCUCAAAUAUAUUGCCGGUCUCUUCAGUUGAUGCCAGAACUUCCCCUGCUCUGUCUAGAGUCACUUCAACUGAUACCACCACUUCAGGUGAUGUCAUCACUUCCUCUAUGACAUUGACAGUCACUUCAAGUGAUGCCUCUAGAAGAAAUCAGACCUCAAUGGGAGAAACUAUUACUGCAACAGCUCCCACAAUAUCAACAGUCCCUUCAACUGAUGCUCCCUCAAAUACCGUUGUUUUAAAUGAUGCCAAAACUCCUCAUAGUACAAUCACAGUCCCUUCAAGUGAUGCCAACAAUCCCUCAACUACAUCAACAGCCACUUCAAACGAUGCCUUAAUGUCUUCUAUUCUUUCUACAGUCACUUUAAGUGAUUCUACUACUUUAUCUACUUCAAUGACAGGCUCUACAAAUGAUGUUCCAGCAAACACUUCAGUGAAAAACACUACUGUCAGAUGUGUAUCAGGUGCUGUUGUAAAUGCCAUUAGGCUGGAAAAUGUUACUAGUCAGGUUAUCACUGCAAGUUGGAUGGGCAUCAACCUGAAUCAAGAAAUUCAGUACACAGUGAAGUUGGUGUCUUAUUCAUCCUCAAUCCAGAACGAGACCUCAGUCACCAAAGCUGUUUUCUUAGACCUUACUCCAGCAACCAUGUACACUCUCACUAUUGAGUACUUAUCCUGUGGCGUCAAGAAAAACAUUUCAAUAGACGUAGUCACAACUGGAAAGGUCUAUGAAUGUUCCACUCGAAUUCCGAGUGGAAAGUUUUUCUCGGAUUAUUUAAAUCAAUCCAGCAGCCUUUAUAAAGACUUUGUGAUCAAUUUCACCAUCCAGGUUGAGACUAAUCUCCCAAAACAAUACCAGGACCUUAUAAGUGCUCAACAAAUGAUGGUGAUUGUGAGAGAUGUUCGCCAAGGAAGUGUGAUCGUUGACUUUGAUCUGGUGACUGCUUUCGAUGUUAACCUAUCAACGUCUGAUGUCAGGACGAGUGUCAUCAAUGCCCUGAACUUAUCUACACUCAGAGUAGAUCUCAAUAGCACCCUUGUUCAAGAUGCAGAUCUUUGCCAAAGAGGAAAUUACGCAUGCUCACAAAAUGCCAGUUGUGUCACAGAGGGACCUUCAUAUUCAUGUAUCUGUCAGGCGGGAUUCUAUGACAUAAACCCAGUGGUGCCUGGUACUGACUGCAUGAUCAUAUCAGUGGAUGCCACCACUGACUCAACUGCAUCAACAGUCUCUCCAAGUGAUGCAACCACUGCCUUAACUACAUCAACAGUCUCUCCAAGUGAUGCCACCACUGCCUCAAUUACAUCAACAGUCUCUCCAAGUGAUGCCACCACUGCCUCAAUUACAUCAAUAGUCUCUCCAAGUGAUGCCACCACUGACUCAACUCCAUCAACAGUCUCUCCAAGUGAUGCCACCACUGCCUCAACUACAUCAACAGUCUCUCCAAGUUAUGCCACCACUGACUCAACUGCAUCAACAGUCUCUCCAAGUGAUGCCACCACUGCCUCAACUACAUCAACAGUCUCUCCAAGUGAUGCCACCACUGCCUUAACUACAUCAACAGUCUCUCCAAAGGAUGUCAUUAGUCCCUCUACCUCGUUGACGUUCACUUCAAGUGAUAGCUCCACUACCCUUCAGGCCUCAAUGGGAGACAUUGUUUCUGCAUCAGCCCCCACAACAUCAGCAGCUACUUCAAGUGUUGCCAUCUCUUCCUUUAGGAUAUCGGCAGUUUCCUCAAGUGAUGUCACCUAUCUCUCAACUAGAUUGCCAGUCUCUUCAAUUGAUGCCAGAACUUCCUCUGCACCUUCUAGAGUCAUUUCAACUGAUACCACCAUUUCAAGUGAUGUCAUCACUUCCUCUAAGAUUUCGACAGUCACCUCGAGUGAUUCUUCAUCUACCAGCCAAUCCUCACUGGGAAGCACUGUUUUGACAACAGUCUUCACCAAUGCAUCCAUAGAAACUAAAGUCCCAACAAUAUUAACAGUGAUUUCAACUGAUGCCACCAUUCCUCCUUCUACAUCAACAGUCUCUUCAAAUAGUGUUUCCUCAUCUACAUCAGUACAUCCAAUUAAUGUCAAAACAACUUCCCAGACAUCCUCUUCAAUUCAGAAUCUGUCGUAUACAUAUUCAGUAACUUCAAGUGAUGCCUCCAAUUCCAGUCAAACCUCAGUGAGAAGCAUUGAUUCAUCAACUGCCACAAUAAACACUAAUGCAUCCAUAGAGACUUUAGCCCCCUUGACAUCAACAGUGAAUUCAAGUGAUUCCAAUACUCCUUCUAUAUCUUCUACAGUAAUUUCCAAUGCCACAUCUCCCUAUUCGACAUUGAUAGUCACUGCAAGUUAUGCCACCACUCCCUUUGCUAGAUCACAAGUAACAAGUCUGGCCACCACUCUAAGACCAACUCCUUCCUCAUCCAGUGCUACUCCAGUGACGACAAGACCAGAAACAACCUCAACUGCAGUCCCAGUAAUCAAUUCUUCAGACACCUCACUUGGAACCGUAUCAAGAGACACCACUUUGGUGACUACUGUCCAAAAUACUUUUACAGGAUGUGGUGCUGUAGUGAAUGCCAUCCGGCUAGAAAAUAUCACUAGCCAGGUUAUCAUUGUGAGUUGGAUGGGAAUCAACCUGAAUCAAGAAAUUCAGUACAUAGUGAAGUUGGUGUCUUAUUCAUCCUCAAUCCAGAACGAGACCUCAGUCACCAAAGCUGUUUUCUCAGACCUUACUCCAGCAACCAUGUACACUCUCACUAUUGAGUACUUAUCCUGUGGCGUCAAGAAAAACAUUUCAAUAGACGUAGUCACAACUGGAAAGGUCUAUGAAUGUUCCACUCGAAUUCCGAGUGGAGAGUUUUUCUCUGAUUAUUUAAAUCAAUCCAGCAGCCUUUAUAAAGACUUUGUGAUCAAUUUCACCAUCCAGGUUGAGACUAAUCUCCCAAAACAAUACCAGGACCUUAUAAGUGCUCAACAAAUGAUGGUGAUUGUGAGAGAUGUUCGCCAAGGAAGUGUGAUCGUUGACUUUGAUCUGGUGACUGCUUUCGAUGUUAACCUAUCAACGUCUGAUGUCAGGACGAGUGUCAUCAAUGCCCUGAACUUAUCUACACUCAGAGUAGAUCUCAAUAGUACCCAUGUUCAAGAUGCAAAUCUCUGCCAACGAGGAAAUUACGCAUGCUCACAAAAUGCCAGUUGUGUCACAGAGGGACCUUCAUAUUCCUGUAAAUGUCAGGUGGGAUUGUACAGUGAAAACCCUGCCUUGCCUGGUACUGCCUGCAUGAUCACUUCAAGUAAUGCCACCACUCCCUCAACUUCAUUCACAGUCUCUUCAAGUGAUGCCAUAACUCUCCCUGCUCCAUCAACAGUCACUUCAGGAGUUCCCCAAAUAUCAAUGGCCCCAGCUGAAGGCUGGAAAGUAGCAACCAUAGUCCUUGGAGUUCUGCUGGGCUUCAUUUUGUUAGUUGUGGUUUUUGCUUUGAUCAUGACUGCACUGAGAUCAACUAACAGGAUCAUGUCAUACAACAUCCAUCAGCCAGAGGACAACAUACAGGUGGUGUCCACUGACUACAUACAUAAACACUAUUCUAACUGUGUGUAG
rnacentral:lncRNA from 1 species